AUACGGAGGGGGCAAGCGUUGUUCGGAAUUACUGGGCGUAAAGGGCGCGUAGGCGGUUGGGCGUGUCUAACGUGAAAGCCCUUGGCUUAACCAAGGAAGUGCGUUUUAUACUGCCCGACUCGAGUCCGGGAGAGGAGAGUGGAAUUCCCAGUGUAGCGGUGAAAUGCGUAGAUACUGGGAGGAACACCGGUGGCGAAGGCGGCUCUCUGGACCGGUACUGACGCUGAGGCGCGAAAGCUAGGGGAGCAAACAGGAUUAGAAACCCCGGUAGUCC
rnacentral:rRNA from 1 species